GAUGAAGAACGUAGCGAAAUGCGAUAAGUAAUGUGAAUUGCAGAAUUCAGUGAAUCAUCGAAUCUUUGAACGCACAUUGCGCCCCCUGGAAUUCCGGGGGGCAUGCCUGUUCGAGCGUCUCAGGGACGAACCCUCGCGCGGGUGUACGCGCGGUCGUGGCUGCGGUGGCGUGCCCGAGGCGGCGGCCACCGCGCUGGAAUCCAUGGGCGGACGCCUGCCGCGUGGCCGAGCGUGAUAUGACGCAUUGGCGCUCGCACGCGGCGAGGCUGCCAGCCCUGGCCCGUCUGUCGGGCGGGGGAGAGCAAGACACGUGAACUCCUCGAAUCAGGUAGGGAUACCCGCUGAACUUAAGCAUAUCAAUAACGGAGGA
rnacentral:misc_RNA from 1 species